GAAUAUCAGGUAAAACCAUAUAAUUUAUUAUGAAUUCGAUCUCACCAAAGAGAAAUAGAAGAACAAGAGAGCAAAGAGUUUUACAGUUAUUAGUUACGAUCACUCCCACAAAUUUUACCUGGAGUUCAUGGCAAUCACUUUGGAGGACUGGCCGGGCAAAGCUUCUGGAGGCAAGCCAGGUUCAGAUCCAAUGACUCGAGCAGCUGGAUCACCUCGCAAGAACAAUCGAGCAGGAUGGGCGGAUCCAGCAGCGCCGCGCAGCAAUCCGUGACAAAUUCUUGCGUUAGGGAGACGUCGAGGCACUUGGCUGGAACCUCGACAUCGCCCACCAGGCACUCGCCCAGCAAUGGAAUCCCGCCCGUGAGAGGAGCGAGCGCUUCCAGGGGAAUAGGAGGGAGAUCGAGGUCCCCGCGAGCAAAUCGAUCGAGCAUCGCGAUCGAGAGAAGAGCUAGAGCUAG
rnacentral:lncRNA from 1 species